GGAUUAGGCAUGCAAGUCGGACGGUAGGGCUUUAUCGUAAGAUAGAGUUUGAGAGUGGCGAACGGGUGAGUAACACGUAGGAAUCUACCCUUAAGACGGGGACAACCCAGGGAAACUUGGGCUAAUACCGGAUGAGAGUGCGAGAGAUUGCAUUUAAAAGGAUGGCGAAAGUUGUCGCUUAGGGAUGAGCCUGCGGUCUAUUAGUUAGUUGGUGAGGUAAGAGCUCACCAAGGCGAUGAUAGAUAGGCGGCCUUAACGGGUGGUCGCCCACACUGGGAUUGAGAUACGGCCCAGACUCCUACGGGAGGCAGCAGUCGAGAAUAGUCUACAAUGGCCGGAAGGCUGAUAGUGCGACGCCGCGUGAACGAGGGAGCCCUUCGGGGUGUAAAGUUCUUUUCUAUACGAGCAGUGCUAUAUAUAUGGAUAGUAUAUAUAGAGGGAUAGUAGUAUAGGAAUAAGCAACGGCUAACUCCGUGCCAGCAGCCGCGGUAACACGGGGGUUGCGAGCGUUGUCCGGAAUUACUAGGCGUAAAGGGCAGGUAGGCGGAUCUACGAGUUUUUUGUUAAAGGCUACGGCUCAACUGUAGUAGAGCAGGAGAUACUGUAGGUCUGGAAUGCGGUAGGGGAAGACAGAAUUCCUGGUGUAGCGGUGGAAUGCGCAGAGAUCAGGAGGAAUACCGAAGGCGAAGGCAGUCUUCUAGGCCGUAAUUGACGCUUAACUGCGAAGGUGUGGGGAUCAAACAGGAUUAGAUACCCUGGUAGUCCACACAGUAAACGAUAAUCACUAGAUGUCGGGUUCUAGAUGGAUUCGGUGUCGGAGCAAACGCGAUAAGUGAUUCGCCUGGGGAGUACGAUCGCAAGGUUGAAACUCAAAUGAAUUGACGGA
rnacentral:rRNA from 1 species